rnacentral:tRNA from 1 species
CGGACGCUCCGGGAGCGCGCGUGCUCAGGCGGGCCGCUGACACGUCGCCCGGCACGUGGCAGUGCAGGGCCACCAGAUCGGCGCUGGUGCGUUCGGCCA